rnacentral:rRNA from 1 species
ACUGCUCAGUAACACGUGGAUAACCUACCCUUAGGACCGGGAUAACCUUGGGAAACUGAGGAUAAUACUGGAUAGGCAAUUAUUCCUGCAAUGGUUUUUUGUUUAAAUGUUUUUUCGCCUAAGGAUGGGUCUGCGGCCGAUUAGGUAGUUGGUUAGGUAAUGGCUUACCAAGCCGUUGAUCGGUACGGGUUGUGAGAGCAAGAGCCCGGAGAUGGAACCUGAGACAAGGUUCCAGGCCCUACGGGGUGCAGCAGGCGCGAAACCUCCGCAAUGUGAGAAAUCGCGACGGGGGGAUCCCAAGUGCCAUUCUUAACGGGAUGGCUUUUCAUUAGUGUAAAGAGCUUUUGGAAUAAGGGCUGGGCAAGACCGGUGCCAGCCGCCGCGGUAACACCGGCAGCUCUAGUGGUAGCAGUUUUUAUUGGGCCUAAAGCGUCCGUAGCCGGUUUAAUAAGUCUCUGGUGAAAUCCUGUAGCUUAACUGUGGGAAUUGCUGGAGAUACUAUUAGACUUGAGACCGGGAGAGGUUAGAGGUACUCCCAGGGUAGAGGUGAAAUUCUGUAAUCCUGGGAGGACUGCCUGUUGCGAAGGCGUCUAACUGGAACGGUUCUGACGGUGAGGGACGAAAGUUAGGGGCGCGAACCGGAUUAGAUACCCGGGUAGUCCUAACCGUAAACGAUGUGGACUUGGUGUUGGGAUGGCUUCGAGCUGCCCCAGUGCCGAAGGGAAGCUGUUAAGUCCACCGCCUGGGAAGUACGGCCGCAAGCUGAACUUAAAGGAAUUGGCGGGGGAG